rnacentral:lncRNA from 1 species
AACCCACUCAGUGAACACAAACGCAUCAAUGAUGAAUGUAAUUGUUUCAACCAAACGAGAAGAGUUUGAUCUAGAAAAGUUCUGGAAGAUAGAAACAACUGGGACCGAGAAUAUGGACGCCGAUUUUAAGUUUAAUCAGGAAUUCCAGGACGUGUAUGAAAAAACUUCGAUCCGUUACCAUGACAACCGCUAUUUUGCAAAACUUCCAUGGAAAGAGGACCACCCAACACUACCAUUGAAUAGAAAUAUUGCAUAUCGACGGACAGUAAACGUUGUUAAUAGAUUAAGAAAAGAUCCAAACAUGUUAACAAAAUAUGGAGAAAUCAUCGCAGAACAA